rnacentral:rRNA from 1 species
UACGUAGGGUGCGAGCGUUGUCCGGAUUUAUUGGGCGUAAAGAGCUCGUAGGCGGUUUGUCGCGUCGGCCGUGAAAUCUCCACGCUUAACGUGGAGCGUGCGGUCGAUACGGGCAGACUUGGAGUUCGGUAGGGGAGACUGGAAUUCCUGGUGUAGCGGUGAAAUGCGCAGAUAUCAGGAGGAACACCGGUGGCGAAGGCGGGUCUCUGGGCCGAUACUGACGCUGGAGGAGCGAAAGCCGUGGGGAGCGAACAGG